CUUUAAUGUACAUUGGAUUUAUAUACUGACUAUUGCAUUGCAAAGCCUCAAAUUAUGAUCAAAAUGUGCAACAACAUGAUAUGGAAAUAUUGGUCUAGCUCUUGUACAAGCUAUGAUAACCUGCAUAACAUCAUAAUAUCAUGUUAUGAAAAUUGCUUCAUAUUUGCUCUCUUUCUUCUGUUUCUAGAAUGUCUUAUCUGGUCAUAUUAUAGUUAUC